GACAAAUUCUCUGGCCAAUAGACUUCACAAGAAAACAAAGCUCUACACCUUUAAAAUGGCCCCAGGUACGUCUAUGGAAGAACAUCUUGACGAGUUUAACAAGAUAAUUCUUGAUCUAGAAAACAUAGACAUAGCAGUUGAGGAUGAAGAUAAGGCGAAUCUGUUAUUGAGUUCUUUGGACACUUCAUAUGACAAUUUUAAAGAAACCAUGACGUAUGAGAGAUAGAGAGAGAGUUUAACAUUGGAUGAAGUGCAAGCAGUUCUGCACUCUAGAGAGUUGCAGAAUAAGGGUGAAUCAAAGAAUGAAACUGGAGAAGGUCUGACAGUACGGGGUAGAUCAGAAAAGCAUGAAAACAAAGGUAAAAAACGCAAAGGAAGAUCAAAUUUGAACAGGGAAGAGUGCUUUAUCUGUCAUAAGGAGGGACACUUUAAGAAAAAUUGCCCAGAAAGGAAGCAGACUACAGGCAAGAAACAACAGAUGGAGGACGGAGAUGCGGCAGUGGUGCUGGAUGGUUAUGACAGUGCUGAAGUGUUGAGUAUUUCAGAGGUAGACUCGUGCAGAGAGUGGAUCCUAGAUUCCGGAUGUUCCUUUCACAUUUGUCCUACAAAAUCAUGGUUUGAGACCUUCAAAGAAGCUAAUGGAGAACAUGUACUUCUAGGAAAUAAUAAGUCAUGUAAGAUUUUGGGAAUGGGAUCAGUGAGAAUAAGGAUGUUUGAUGGCAUGGAAAGACUUCUUCAAGGUGUAAGAUAUAUACCAAAGUUGAAGAGGAACCUUAUUUUUCUAGGAAUGCUUGAUGAGGGCGGCUGCACUUUCAAAUCAGAAUCUGGGACUUUAAGAGUUGCUAGGGGUUCUCCAACUGUAAUUGAAGGUUUUUAGAGAUGAAAGAAUAGAAAUUGAACCAGCAGAUAUGGAGCAGUAGUAAAAGGAAUUAAUUUAU
rnacentral:lncRNA from 1 species